AUGAUUCAAAUAGAAGAGGAGCUUUUACAAAAAGCUCUACCCCUGAAAACGUCAACUCUCAGCCCAAGGAAUGCAUCUGCCCUAUCGAGGUCGGCCUCAUGCAAUGCCCAGAUUGCCUUACCAAUUCCGGAAUUAGAUGGAGAAACCAAGGGCUGGAAUAGCAGGAGUGGGCAGCACCGGGUUUUUGUCCUGAGCCUGGAGGCUGUGAGCGCAGAAACUCAGUAUUUUGGCCCAGGAACCAGACUGACCGUGCUCGGCACCCGACUGUCAGUGCUAGAGGAUCUGAGCAAGGUGAGACCACCCAAGGUCACCUUGUUUGAGCCAUCAGAAGCAGAGAUCGCAGACAAACAAAUGGCCACCCUCGUGUGCCUGGCCAGGGGCUUCUACCCUGACCACGUGGAAAUGAGCUGGUGGGUGAAUGGCAAGGAGGUCCUCAGCGGAGUCAGCACAGACCUUGAGCCCAAAAAGGAGAGCAACGGUGUCACCUACGGCCUGAGCAGCCGCCUGAGGGUCUCUGCCACCUUCUGGCACAAUCCCCGCAACCACUUCCGCUGCCAAGUCCAGUUCUAUGGGCUGACAGAGGAAGACAAGUGGAGUGAGGCCUCACCCAAACCGGUCUCCCAGAACAUCAGUGCCGAGGCCUGGGGCAGCGCCGACUGUGGCAUCACCGCAACGUCCUACCAACAAGGGGUCCUGUCUGCCACCAUCCUCUAUGAGGUCCUGCUGGGGAAGGCCACCCUGUAUGCUGUGCUGGUCAGCGCCCUGGUGCUGAUGGCCAUGGCCAAGAAAAAAAAUUCCUGAGACCAGCUGGUUGUGCGUCCUGGGUUGUUUGUUCUCCAUCCUAACCCUGAUUCUCCUGCAUCUGCUUCUCAAUCCCUUCCUGAGGAGCGGUUCUCUAUCCAGAGCUUCUACUCUUCCUCCAUGGAUGUCCAUCCUUCCUCACCGCUUCCCGUGGACUGAUUUCUUGACUCUGAAACAGGCUUAACCAAUAAAACUGUUCAGCUGGG